UACGGGGGGAGCAAGCGUUGUUCGGAUUUACUGGGCGUAAAGGGCGCGUAGGCGGCCACCGCAAGUCGGUUGUGAAAUCUCCGGGCUUAACCCGGAAAGGUCAAUCGAUACUGCGGGGCUAGAGUGCAGAAGGGGCAACUGGAAUUCUCGGUGUAGCGGUGAAAUGCGUAGAUAUCGAGAGGAACACCUGCGGCGAAGGCGGGUUGCUGGGCUGACACUGACGCUGAGGAGCGAAAGCGUGGGGAGCGAACAGG
rnacentral:rRNA from 1 species